rnacentral:rRNA from 1 species
ACUCUAAGCGGUGGAUCACUCGGCUCAUGGGUCGAUGAAGAACGCAGCAAACUGUGCGUCAUCGUGUGAACUGCAGGACACAUGAACAUCGACAUUUUGAACGCAUAUCGCAGUCCAUGCUGUUUGGUACUUUAAUUAAUUUUAUAGUGCUGCUUGGACUACAUAUGGUUGAGGGUUGUAAGACUUUGCUAAUUAAGUUGUUUAAAAUUUUUCGAAGUUUUAAGCAUAUGGUAUAUUAAUGGAUAGAUUAUGUGUGUCUGUGAUAUGCAUAAAAUAUUCAUAAUAUUAAUAUAUAUAUGGAUGUACUACUCAUUGUAUAUUUUGUAUGAGAAAACUGAAGAAUUAUAUUUUCUUUUUUCAAAUCAAAUGAAUACUGAGGAAUGUCUAGCAUAAAAGAAAAAUAACAUUUUCCUUCAUCUAGAAUUGCCUCUUAUUAAUGAUUUGAUCAAGGAAUUGUUGUAAAAUUUAUGGAACUUCAGAAGAAAAGUAUUAUCCAUUAUAUUGAACAAUAAAUAAUGUUCAAUUAACAUUGUUUUAUACAACCUCAACUCAUAUGGGACUACCCCCUGAAUUUAAGCAUAUUAAUUAGGGGAGGAAAAGAAACUAACAAGGAUUUUCUUAGUAGCGGCGAGCGAAAAGAAAUCAGUUCAGCACUAAGUCACUUUGUCUAUAUGGCAAAUGUGAGAUGCAGUGUACGGAACAUCAAUAUUCUAGUAUGAGAAGUUAACGAUUUAAGUCCUUCUUAAAUGAGGCCAUUUACCCAUAGAGGGUGCCAGGCCCGUAUAACGUUAAUGAUUACUAGAUGGUGUUUCCAAAGAGUCGUGUUGCUUGAUAGUGCAGCACUAAGUGGGUGGUAAACUCCAUCUAAAACUAAAUAUAACCAUGAGACCGAUAGUAAACAAGUACCGUGAGGGAAAGUUGAAAAGAACUCUGAAUAGAGAGUUAAAUAGUACGUGAAACUGCUUAGAGGUUAAGCCCGAUGAACCUGAAUAUCCGUUAUGGAAAAUUCAUCAUUAGAAUUGUAAUAUUUUAAACAAUAUUAUAAUAAUAGUGUGCAUUUUUUCCAUAUAAGGACAUUGUAAUCUAUUAGCAUAAAUAUUUAUCAUAAAAUUAUGUCUGAUUGCUUAUUUGAAUUAUAUGCUUGCAUUUUAACAUAAAAUAAAAGACAUAAAUUUGAUAAAGUGCUGAUAGAUUUAUAUGAUUACAGUGCGUUAAUUUUUCGGAAUUAUAUAAUGGCAUAAUUAUCAUUGAUAUUUGUGUUUAUUAUAUGCACUUGUAUGAUUAACAAUGCGAAAGAUUCAGGAUACCUUCGGGACCCGUCUUGAAACACGGACCAAGGAGUCUAACAUAUGUGCAAGUUAUUGGGAUAUAAACCUAAUAGCGUAAUUAACUUGACUAUUAAUGGGAUUAGUUUUUUAACUAUUUAUAGUUAAUUAACGCAAUCCCGGGGCGCUCUAUAUAGUUAUGUAUAAUAAUAUUUAUAUUAUUUAUGCCUCUAACUGGAACGUACCUUGAGCAUAUAUGCUGUGACCCGAAAGAUGGUGAACUAUACUUGAUCAGGUUGAAGUCAGGGGAAACCCUGAUGGAAGACCGAAACAGUUCUGACGUGCAAAUCGAUUGUCAGAAUUGAGUAUAGGGGCGAAAGACCAAUCGAACCAUCUAGUAGCUGGUUCCUUCCGAAGUUUCCCUCAGGAUAGCUGGUGCAUUUAACUGUUGUAUAAAAUAAUCUUAUCUGGUAAAGCGAAUGAUUAGAGGCCUUAGGGUCGAAACGAUCUUAACCUAUUCUCAAACUUUAAAUGGGUAAGAACCUUAACUUUCUUGAUAUGAAGUUUAAGGUUAUGAUAUAAUGUGCCCAGUGGGCCACUUUUGGUAAGCAGAACUGGCGCUGUGGGAUGAACCAAACGUAAUGUUACGGUGCCCAAAUUAACAACUCAUACAGAAACCAUGAAAGGCGUUGGUUGCUUAAAACAGCAGGACGGUGAUCAUGGAAGUCGAAAUCCGCUAAGGAGUGUGUAACAACUCACCUGCCGAAGCAACUAGCCCUUAAAAUGGAUGGCGCUUAAGUUGUAUACCUAUACAUUACCGCUAAAGUAGAUGGUUUAUAUUACUUGUAAUAUAAAUUUUGAAACUUUAGUGAGUAGGAAGGUACAAUGGUGUGCAUAGAAGUGUUUGGCGUAAGCCUGCAUGGAGCCGCUAUUGGUACAGAUCUUGGUGGUAGUAGCAAAUAAUCGAAUGAGACCUUGGAGGACUGAAGUGGAGAAGGGUUUCGUGUGAACAGUGGUUGAUCACGAGUUAGUCGGUCCUAAGUUCAAGGCGAAAGCCGAAAAUUUUCAAGUAAAGAAAAAUCUAAAUAUAUUUGUCAUCUAACCGAUUUUUAUACACUUGAAUAAUUUUGAACGAAAGGGAAUACGGUUCCAAUUCCGUAACCUGUUGAGUAUCCGUUUGUUAUUAAAUAUGGGCCUCGUGCUCAUCCUGGCAACAGGAACGACCAUAAAGAAGCCGUCGAGAGGUAUCGGAAGAGUUUUCUUUUCUGUUUUAUAGCCGUACUACCAUGGAAGUCUUUCGCAGAGAGAUAUGGUAGAUGGGCUAGAAGAGCAUGACAUAUACUGUUGUGUCGAUAUUUUCUCCUCGGACCUUGAAAAUUUAUGGUGGGGACACGCAAACUUCUCAACAGGCCGUACCAAUAUCCGCAGCUGGUCUCCAAGGUGAAGAGUCUCUAGUCGAUAGAAUAAUGUAGGUAAGGGAAGUCGGCAAAUUAGAUCCGUAACUUCGGGAUAAGGAUUGGCUCUGAAGAUUGAGAUAGUCGGGCUUGAUUGGGAAACAAUAACAUGGUUUAUGUGCUCGUUCUGGGUAAAUAAAGUUUCUAUCAUUUAUGGUAGUUUCUUGUUCCCCGGAUAGUUUAGUUACGUAGCCAAUUGUGGAACUUUCUUGCUAAAAUUUUUAAGAAUACUAAUUGGGCAACCAAUUAGUUCUUUUAAAUUAUAACGAUUAUCAAUUAACAAUCAAUUCAGAACUGGCACGGACUUGGGGAAUCCGACUGUCUAAUUAAAACAAAGCAUUGUGAUGGCCCUAGCGGGUGUUGACACAAUGUGAUUUCUGCCCAGUGCUCUGAAUGUCAAAGUGAAGAAAUUCAAGUAAGCGCGGGUCAACGGCGGGAGUAACUAUGACUCUCUUAAGGUAGCCAAAUGCCUCGUCAUCUAAUUAGUGACGCGCAUGAAUGGAUUAACGAGAUUCCUACUGUCCCUAUCUACU